GCCAAUGUGGCGUAGUGGUUUGAGUGCUGAACUAUGACUCUGGAGACCAGGGUUUGAAUCCCAGCUCAGUCA